UUCAAGGCACAGAUGUAUGGGAAUCUAUAGCACAGAAUAAUCAAACUACAAGAGAGAAUAGAAGGGAUGGAAAUGAAGAGGAACCUGAGGUAAAGAAGGUCCAGCAACAGGCCCAAAGUGGAAUCCAGCUCAAGAGGAGGUCCUAAGGCCUGACACUAUAACUGAGGCUAUGGAGUGCUCACAGAAAGGGACCUAGCUUGACGGUACUCUGGAAGACCCAACAAGCAGCUGAAAGAGUCAGAUGCAGAUAUUUGUACCCAACCAAUGGACAGAAGCAGCUGACCCCUGAUGUUGAAUUAGGGAAGGCUGAAAGAAGCUGAGAAGGGCAACCUUGUAGGAAGACAAGCAGUCUAAUUAGUCUAGACCCCCGGAGAUCUCUCAAACACUAGACCACCAGACAGGCACCAUUCACCAGCUGAAAUGAGGCCCCCAACACACAUACAGUAGAGGACUGCCAGGUCUGUGUUCAUUCAGAGAUGAUGCACCUAACCCUCAAGAGACUAGAGGCCUCAGGGAGUUUAGAAGUCAGGUGGGGUAGGGGUGGGGCCAUCCAUGUGAAGACGGGGGG
rnacentral:lncRNA from 1 species